UCCCUGAUAGCUCAGUUGGUAAAGAAUCUGCCUACAAUGCAGGAGACCCAGGUUCGAUUCCUGGGUUGGGAA
rnacentral:tRNA from 1 species